GACGAACGCUGGCGGCGUGCUUAACACAUGCAAGUCGAACGAAGAGCGAUGGAAGCUUGCUUCUAUCAAUCUUAGUGGCGAACGGGUGAGUAACGCGUAAUCAACCUGCCCUUCAGAGGGGGACAACAGUUGGAAACGACUGCUAAUACCGCAUACGAUCUAACCUCGGCAUCGAGGAUGGAUGAAAGGUGGCCUCUAUUUAUAAGCUAUCACUGAAGGAGGGGAUUGCGUCUGAUUAGCUAGUUGGAGGGGUAACGGCCCACCAAGGCGAUGAUCAGUAGCCGGUCUGAGAGGAUGAACGGCCACAUUGGGACUGAGACACGGCCCAGACUCCUACGGGAGGCAGCAGUGGGGAAUCUUCCGCAAUGGACGAAAGUCUGACGGAGCAACGCCGCGUGAGUGAUGACGGCCGUCGGGUUGUAAAGCUCUGUUAAUCGGGACGAAAGGCCUUCUUGCGAAUAGUUAGAAGGAUUGACGGUACCGGAAUAGAAAGCCACGGCUAACUACGUG
rnacentral:rRNA from 1 species